rnacentral:rRNA from 1 species
UACGGAGGGGGCUAGCGUUGUUCGGAAUUACUGGGCGUAAAGCGUACGUAGGCGGCUUUGUAAGUUAGAGGUGAAAGCCCGGGGCUCAACUCCGGAAUUGCCUUUAAGACUGCAUCGCUUGAAUCAUGGAGAGGUGAGUGGAAUUCCGAGUGUAGAGGUGAAAUUCGUAGAUAUUCGGAAGAACACCAGUGGCGAAGGCGACUCACUGGACAUGUAUUGACGCUGAGGUACGAAAAGCGUGGGGGAGCAAAACAGGG